rnacentral:lncRNA from 1 species
AGCAAACAGCAAGCAUCUAUUACAAGAGGAAACCAAAAUAACUCAAGGAAAGAAGAGCAAGGGCCUGUGAACUGAAGCAGCAUGGGAGUCAAGAGGGGAAAGAUAAAGAAAGGUGUUAAUGUGGGAGAAGGAAAAGGACUUCACCCAUUACUUAUGUUAAGAGGAUUAAAGGAACAAGGAGGAGCUUGGUAACAUUUUGAGAAUUUUAGCUUGGAUGACUGUGUAGAUGGUGAUGAAUUUGGCUGAGAUGAGAAAUUCAGAAGGGGCUUCCUCUCCACUGACUUCUGCAACAUGGCCCAUGUCACUGAGCUGGCAACCAAGAGGGAGGAGAAAAGAGAAAGGAACCCUCCCAUUCAUCCUUCCGUAUCACUACUCAGAACCAAGUACCUCUGCUUCUAAACUACAUCAGGGAGUGCAACUCCCAUGGAAUCACAGGACAAGAAGAAAUGGGAACAGAUAUUUAAGAAUUUGAAUUCUGUGAGUACCUUCUAAGAUACCCCUUAUCCUGACUAAUUUGAGGUGAUGAACUCAGGAAUGUUGCAUCUUGAAUCAGAAACACCUUUGUUAUUGCAUUGUUUAUGAGCUAGAUAAAAAAUCCCUGGAAGGAGAAUACGAAUACCUGGAUGUGGAAGGGCAUGUGACAGUAUAAGGAGUAACUGCCCAUUGUGAUGACAAAAGGAGU